rnacentral:rRNA from 1 species
GAGGAAAGAGGGGGGCGUGCUUAACACAUGCAAGUCGAACGGAAAGGCCCAAGCUUGCUUGGGUACUCGAGUGGCGAGCGGGUGAGUAACACGUGGGUGAUCUGCCCUGCACUUCGGGAUAAGCCUGGGAAACUGGGUCUAAUACCGGAUAGGACGAUGGUUUGGAUGCCAUUGUGGAAAGUUUUUUCGGUGUGGGAUGAGCUCGCGGCCUAUCAGCUUGUUGGUGGGGUAAUGGCCUACCAAGGCGUCGACGGGUAGCCGGCCUGAGAGGGUGUACGGCCACAUUGGGACUGAGAUACGGCCCAGACUCCUACGGGAGGCAGCAGUGGGGAAUAUUGCACAAUGGGCGCAAGCCUGAUGCAGCGACGCCGCGUGGGGGAUGACGGCCUUCGGGUUGUAAACUCCUUUCGCUAGGGACGAAGCGUUUUUGUGACGGUACCUGGAGAAGAAGCACCGGCUAACUACGUG